GACGAACGCUGGCGGCGUGCUUAACACAUGCAAGUCGAACGGAAAGGCCUGCUUUCCCUUGUGGAUUGCGGGUACUCGAGUGGCGAACGGGUGAGUAACACGUGAGUGAUCUGCCCCCAACUUGGGUAUAAGCCUGGGAAACUGGGUCUAAUUCCCGAUAGGACUGCAGGGUGGUGCCUGUGGUGGAAAACGAUUUUCUAGUGGUUGGGGAUGAGCUCGCGGCCUAUCAGCUUGUUGGUGGGGUAAUGGCCUACCAAGGCGGCGACGGGUAGCCGGCCUGGGAGGGUGGACGGCGACAUUGGGACUGAGAUACGACCCAGACUCCUACGGGAGGCAGCAGUGGGGAAUAUUGCACAAUGGGCGGAAGCCUGAUGCAGCGACGCCGCGUGGGUGAUGACGGCCUUCGGGUUGUAAACUCCUUUCGACCGCGAGGAAGCCACCUGGUUGGAAGGGUGGUGACGGUAGUGGUAGAAGAAGCACCGGCUAACUACGUG
rnacentral:rRNA from 1 species